CCAGACUCCUACGGGAGGCAGCAGUGGGGGAUAUUGCACAAUGGGGGGAACCCUGAUGCAGCGACGCCGCGUGGGUGAAGGAGCGUUUCGGCGCGUAAAGCCCUAUCGGCAGGGAAGAAGGAGGACGGUACCUGACUAAGAAGCCCCGGCUAACUACGUGCCAGCAGCCGCGGUAAUACGUAGGUGGCAAGCGUUGUCCGGAUUUACUGGGUGUAAAGGGCGUGUAGCCGGGCCGGCAGGUCAGAUGUGAAAUCCCAAGGCUCAACCUUGGAACUGCAUUUGAAACUGUUGAUCUUGAGUAUCGGAGAGGCAGGCGGAAUUCCUGGUGUAGCGGUGAAAUGCGUAGAUAUCAGGAGGAACACCGGUGGCGAAGGCGGCCUGCUGGACUGCGACUGACGUUGAGGCCCGAAAGCGUGGGGAGCAAACAGGAUUAGAUACCCGUGUA
rnacentral:rRNA from 1 species